AAUCAACGCUGGCGGCGUGCCUCAGACAUGCAAGUCGAACGAUUAAACUUUCCUUCGGGAAAGAUAUAAAGUGGCGCACGGGUGAGUAACACGUAAGUAAUCUACCUUCGAGUGGGGAAUAACAUCGGGAAACCGAUGCUAAUACCGCAUAAUGCAGCGGCAUCGCAAGAUGAAAGUUGUUAAAGGAGCAAUCCGCUUGAAGAGGAGCUUGCGGCAGAUUAGCUAGUUGGUAAGGUAAUGGCUUACCAAGGCUUCGAUCUGUAUCCGGCCUGAGAGGGCGGUCGGACACACUGACACUGAAUAACGGGUCAGACUCCUACGGGAGGCAGCAGUCGGGAAUUUUGGGCAAUGGGCGAAAGCCUGACCCAGCAACGCCGCGUGAAGGAUGAAGUAUUUCGGCAUGUAAACUUCGAAAGAAUGGGAAGAAUCAAUGACGGUACCAUUUAUAAGCUCCGGCUAACUACGUGCCAGCAGCCGCCGUAACAC
rnacentral:rRNA from 1 species